UAUAUGUUUUAUGUUAUUAAAAGUGUUAUGAUAUAUGUGUAUGUUUGUAGGCUUGGGCAUAUGACCCAUAUGACUAACAAGACCCCAAAUGGGUUAUGGGCAUAUGACCUACUUAGCUAGUAGGACCCCACUAAUCCCAUGGGCAUAUGCUUGUUUAGUCUAUGGGACCCCAAGUAAUAAUGGCCAUUAUAAUAAGUGUAUGUUAUAUGUAUUAUGUUAAGUCUUUAUGUUUUCUUAUGAAAUUGUGUAUAUGACUAUGUGUUAGGAAAUAGGCUAGAAUCAACAUGUUAUGUGAUUAUGUUAUCUAUAUGUUUUAUGUUAUUAAAAGUGUUAUGAUAUAUGUGUAUGUUUGUAGGCUUGGGCAUAUGACCCAUAUGACUAACAAGACCCCAAAUGGGUUAUGGGCAUAUGACCUACUUAGCUAGUAGGACCCCACUAAUCCCAUGGGCAUAUGCUUGUUUAGUCUAUGGGACCCCAAGUAAUAAUGGCCAUUAUAAUAAGUGUAUGUUAUAUGUAUUAUGUUAAGUCUUUAUGUUUUCUUAUGAAAUUGUGUAUAUGACUAUGUGUUAGGAAAUAGGCUAGAAUCAACAUGUUAUGUGAUUAUGUUAUCUAUAUGUUUUAUGUUAUUAAAAGUGUUAUGAUAUAUGUGUAUGUUUGUAGGCUUGGGCAUAUGACCCAUAUGACUAACAAGACCCCAAAUGGGUUAUGGGCAUAUGACCUACUUAGCUAGUAGGACCCCACUAAUCCCAUGGGCAUAUGCUUGUUUAGUCUAUGGGACCCCAAGUAAUAAUGGCCAUUAUAAUAAGUGUAUGUUAUAUGUAUUAUGUUAAGUCUUUAUGUUUUCUUAUGAAAUUGUGUA